rnacentral:rRNA from 1 species
AGCAGCCGCGGUAAUUCCAGCUCCAAUAGCGUAUAUUAAAGUUGUUGCAGUUAAAAAGCUCGUAGUUGAAUUUCGGGGUUAGUAGGUUGGUCAUGCCUCUGGUAUGUACUGGUCUCACUGAUUCCUCCUUCCUGAUGAGCCGUAAUGCCAUUAAUUUGGUGUUGCGGGGAAUUUGGACUGUUACUUUGAAAAAUUGAGUGUUUAAAGCAAGCUAACGCUUGAAUACAUUAGCAUGGAAUAAUGAAAUAGGACGUUCGAUCUUAUUUUGUUGGUUUCUAAGAUUGACGUAAUGAUUAAUAGGGAUAGUUGGGGGCAUUAGUAUUCAAUUGUCAGAGGUGAAAUUCUUGGAUUUAUUGAAGACUAACUACUGCGAAAGCAUUUGCCAAGGAUGUUUUCAUUAAUCAAGAACGAAAGUUAGGGGAUCGAAGACGAUCAGAUACCGUCGUAGUCUUAACAUAAACUAUGCCGACUAGGGAUCGGAUGAUGUUAAUUUUUUAAUGUACUCA